rnacentral:rRNA from 1 species
GCGACCCCAGGUCAGGGGGGACUA